GACUCUCGGCAACGGAUAUCUCGGCUCUCGCAUCGAUGAAGAACGUAGCGAAAUGCGAUACCUGGUGUGAAUUGCAGAAUCCCGCGAACCAUCGAGUCUUUGAACGCAAGUUGCGCCCGAGGCCACUCGGCCGAGGGCACGCCUGCUUGGGCGUCA
rnacentral:rRNA from 1 species